AACAAAUAAUGCAAAGUAUGAGUGUAAGUGCAAGAGAACCGGCUCAUUGUAAGAAAGCCCAAGAGUAAGCUAUGUGAGGUUGAUGGCGAUGCUUAAAAGCAAUCAAGUUACAAGGGUAUGAAAAUGGGCUCGACAUUGAAUCGAGAAAAGUGUGAUUUUAAUAGUUUAAAAUGGUUUUGAAUGGAUGAUGAAAUUAAAAGAAAGCAAAUCGGUGUUAUUAAACAAUAAUGAAACUAUGAGUAUAAUAAAAACAUAAACAUAAAAAAAAUGCUAAAAGAAAUAAAAUGCUAAAAGAAAUAAAAUGCUACAUAUGUGGGUAUUGAACCCACUCCACUAAAGACCUAGAAACUACCCUCUCUCCACUAGGCCAUUCAUGACUAGUUAUUAUUUACAACAACAACUUGGAUAUAUAAACCAAGAUAGAUUAAAAAUUUGAAUUAAAAUAAAAACUAAUAAAAAAGAAAUCUGUUGGACUACCAUAAUUAAACCCAGCCGCUUGGCUGUUGGGUUUUUCAAUGGGGUAUAAAUUGAAAAUAUAAAAACAAUUAUUAACUAAGACCUAGGAAUUUUAAACGUGUUUUUAAUGGUUUAUUCUGUUUAAAAUAAAUUAAAAGAAAAAAAAUGGGAAUAGUGUAACAGAUC
rnacentral:lncRNA from 1 species